ensembl:lncRNA
UGCACUGGUCCCUCUCCCGUUGUGUGAGCGGAGGCUAGCCCAGCAUCACCGCCUUCUUCUUUCUAUCCUUUCUGAAUGUGUUAUUCCUGUCUUGUUUUUUGUUGUUGCUUGUUUGUUUAGUUCUUUUUCCAGCUCAUCACAAACUCCGCAGACGAGGCACCCUCUCUCUGUUUUUAACAGUAAUUUUCUUCGAACACAAAGCGUUUGGCUAGACGCUUAAAGCUGUCGCGUUGCUUCAGCAGGGAGAGAAAAACAUCCAUCCCCGACGUCUCGAGGAGGCAGGGUGCGAACACAGCAACGCCCAUUUUGACACAAGCGGUAUCGCUGCUGUCUUCACGAAGGCCGUGUUUCUAUUUUUUCCCCUCUUUUUCGCAUCUUCGAGUAGUGGCAACAGGGUCCGGGGCUGCCGAAGAGCUCCAUGCCCCUUUGCAUGCAGCGCACCGAGACUGCAUUUUGCAGACUGCAUCUGUGGCCUUAACCUUGUAGAUUCCUCCUCUGGUUGUCCUUGACGCCUCCGGCAUUCCCCCC